rnacentral:rRNA from 1 species
AUUGAACGCUGGCGGCAGGCCUAACACAUGCAAGUCGAACGAGUGGCGGACGGGUGAGUAAUGUCUGGGAAACUGCCUGAUGGAGGGGGAUAACUACUGGAAACGGUGGCUAAUACCGCAUACCAUCGGAUGUGCCCAUAUGGGAUUAGCUAGUAGGUGGGGUAAAGGCUCACCUAGGCGACGAUCCCUAGCUGGUCUGAGAGGAUGACCAGCCACACUGGAACUGAGACACGGACCAGACUCCGACGGGAGGCAGCAGGGGGGAAUAUUGCACAAUGGGCGCAAGCCUGAUGCAGCCAUGCCGCGUGUAUGAAGAAGGCCUUAGGGUUGUAAAGUACUUUCAGCGGGGAGGCGUUACCCGCAGAAGAAGCACCGGCUAACUCCGUGCCAGCAGCCGCGGUAAUUC